rnacentral:rRNA from 1 species
UGGGGAAUAUUGGACAAUGGGCGAAAGCCUGAUCCAGCCAUGCCGCGUGUGUGAAGAAGGUCUUCGGAUUGUAAAGCACUUUAAGUUGGGAGGCAGGGCAGUAAGCGAAUACCUUGCUGUUUUGACGUUACCGACAGAAUAAGCACCGGCUAACUCUGUGCCAGCAGCCGCGGUAAUACAGAGGGUGCAAGCGUUAAUCGGAAUUACUGGGCGUAAAGCGCGCGUAGGUGGUUCGUUAAGUUGAAUGUGAAAGCCCCGGGCUCAACCUGGGAACUGCAUCCAAAGCUGGCGAGCUAGAGUAGGGCAGAGGGUGGUGGAAUUUCCUGUGUAGCGGUGAAAUGCGUAGAUAUAGGAAGGAACACCAGUGGCGAAGGCGACCACCUGGGCUCAUACUGACACUGAGGUGCGAAAGCGUGGGGAGCAAACAGG